UGGCGGAGUAGCUUAAUCGGAUGAAAGCGUCGGUCUCAUAAACCGAAGACUACAGGUUCGAGUCCUGUUUCCGCAACCA
rnacentral:tRNA from 1 species